UACGGGGGGGGCAAGCGUUGUUCGGAAUUACUGGGCGUAAAGGGCUCGUAGGCGGCCAACUAAGUCAGACGUGAAAUCCCUCGGCUUAACCGGGGAACUGCGUCUGAUACUGGAUGGCUUGAGUUUGGGAGAGGGAUGCGGAAUUCCAGGUGUAGCGGUGAAAUGCGCAGAUAUCAGGAGGAACACCGAUGGCGAAGGCAGGUCUCUGGGCAUUAACUGACGCUGAGGAGCGAAAGCAUGGGGAGCGAACAGG
rnacentral:rRNA from 1 species